AUUGAACGCUGGCGGCAGGCCUAACACAUGCAAGUCGAGCGGAGCGGCGGACGGGUGAGUAAUGCCUAGGAAUCUGCCUGGUAGUGGGGGAUAACGUCCGGAAACGGGCGCUAAUACCGCAUACUAUCAGAUGAGCCUAGGUCGGAUUAGCUAGGUGGUGGGGUAAAGGCCUACCAAGGCGACGAUCCGUAACUGGUCUGAGAGGAUGAUCAGUCACACGGGAACGGAGACGCGGUCCAGACGCCUACGGUAGGCAGCAGUUGGGAAUAUUGGACAAUGGGCGAAAGCCUGAUCCCGCCAGGACGCGUGUGUGAAGAAGGGCUUCGGAUUGUAAAGCACUUUAAGUUGUGAGGCGUUACCAGCAGAAUAAGCACCGGCUAACUUCGUGCAAGCAGCAGCGGUAAUUC
rnacentral:rRNA from 1 species